AUACGUAGGGGGCGAGCGUUGUCCGGAAUGAUUGGGCGUAAAGGGCGCGUAGGCGGCCCGGUAAGUCUGGAGUGAAAGUCCUGUUUUUAAGAUGGGAAUUGCUUUGGAUACUGUCGGGCUUGAGUGCAGGAGAGGUAAGUGGAAUUCCCAGUGUAGCGGUGAAAUGCGUAGAGAUUGGGAGAAACACCAGUGGCGAAGGCGACUUACUGGACUGUAACUGACGCUGAGGCGCGAAAGUGUGGGGAGCAAGCAGGAUUAGAUACCCUGGUAGUCCACACUGUAAACGAUGAAUGCUAGGUGUAGGGGGUAUCGACCCCUUCUGUGCCGCAGUCAACACAAUAAGCAUUCCGCCUGGGGAGUACGGCCGCAAGGUUGAAACUCAAAUGAAUUGACGGGG
rnacentral:rRNA from 1 species